GACAGAGGAUGCAAGCGUUAUCCGGAAUGAUUGGGCGUAAAGCGUCUGUAGGUGGCUUUUUAAGUCUGCCGACAAAUCCCAGGGCUUAACCCUGGACAGGCGGUGGAAACUACCAAGCUGGAGUACGGUAGGGGCAGGGGGAAUUUCCGGUGGAGCGGUGAAAUGCGUAGAGAUCGGAAAGAACACCAACGGCGAAAGCACUCUGCUGGGCCGACACUGACACUGAGAGACGAAAGCUAGGGGAGCGAAUGGG
rnacentral:rRNA from 1 species